rnacentral:rRNA from 1 species
UUCGCAAUGCCCGAAAGGGUGACGAAGCGACGCCGCGUGUGGGAAGAAGGCCUUCGGGUUGUAAACCGCUGUUGGGAGUUAGGAAGUGUGGAGGUGUUAAUAGCGCUGUCACUUGACUAAAGCUCCAGAGGAAGCCACGGCUAACUCUGUGCCAGCAGCCGCGGUAAUACAGAGGCGGCAAGCGUUGUUCGGAAUUAUUGGGCGUAAAGAGCACGUAGGCGGCUCUGUAAGUCAGCUGUGAAAGCCUUCUGCUUAACGGAAGAACAGCAGUUGAAACUACAGGGCUUGAGUGCGGGAGGGGAGAGUGGAACUUCUGGUGGAGCGGUGAAAUGCGUAGAUAUCAGAAGGAACGCCGGCGGCGAAAGCGGCUCUCUGGCCCGUAACUGACGCUGAGUGUGCGAAAGCUAGGGGAGCAAACGGGAUUAGAUACCCCGGUAGUCCUAGCCGUAAACGAUGGGCACUAAGUAGAG